rnacentral:rRNA from 1 species
GAUGAACGCUGGCGGCGUGCCUAAUACAUGCAAGUCGAGCGAACAGACGCGGCGCUUGCUCCUUUGACGUUAGCCGCGGACGUGUGAGUAACACGUGUAUCACCUACCUAUAAGUCUGGGAUAACUUCGGGAAACCGGAGCUAAUACCGGAUAACAUGUUGAACCGCGUGGUUCAACAGUGAGAGACGGUCUUGCUGUCACUUAUAGAUGGAUCCGCGCCGCAUUAGCUAGUUGGUAAGGUAAGGGCUUACCAAGGCAACGAUGCGUAGGCGACCUGAGAGGGGGAUCGGCCACACUGGAACUGAGACACGGCCCAGACUCCUACGGGAGGCAGCAGUAGGGAAUCUUCCGCAAUGGGCGAAAGCCUGACGGAGCAACGCCGCGUGAGUGAAGAAGGUCUUCGGAUCGUAAAACUCUGUUAUUAGGGAAGAACAAAUGUGUAAGUAACUAUGCACGUCUUGACGGUACCGAAUCAGAAAGCCACGGCUAACUACGUG